UUCAAACAUUAUAUUUCCACUAUAUGUUUUACUCUUACAUUCACAAGGCUACCAGAAACCUGCCAUUUCCAGAACAAGCUGCUGUUCAGAAUCCUCCCAGUUUUCCAGUGACUCGAGAGCACGCAGAGGCUUGUCCACCAGGCGGGACCUGAUGAUCUCAGACAGGACUACUUAAUGGACUGAGAUGAUCCUAUCAACAAUGAAGAGCUAGGACAGAACCAGAAGCAUCUUAUUCCGCUUGUGUGAACCACCCUUGAGUGUAAGGGCUAACAGAAGGGAUGUCGGAGGACAACCUCUGGGCAUUGGUGCUCUCAUUCUACAAUGUGGGUUCCAGCACAUGACUGGUGGAGUUGUUUCUGAUGUUUGAUGGGAAGAAGGUUGGAUUCCAGUUGACGGACCUAGUAAGAGGAAGAAAUGCUUAUAUAACCACCCAGCCAGGAAAACAAACGGCA